rnacentral:rRNA from 1 species
UGGGGAAUCUUGCGCAAUGGGCGAAAGCCUGACGCAGCAACGCCGCGUGUGUGAUGAAGGUCUUCGGAUCGUAAAGCACUGUCGGGAGGGACGAAUAAGGGCCAGGUGAACAAUCUGGUCCGAUGACGGUACCUCCAAAGGAAGCACCGGCUAACUCUGUGCCAGCAGCCGCGGUAAUACAGAGGGUGCAAGCGUUGUUCGGAAUUAUUGGGCGUAAAGCGCGUGUAGGCGGUCUCGCAAGUCGGAUGUGAAAGCCCUCGGCUUAACCGAGGAAGUGCGUUCGAAACUACGGGACUUGAGUGCCGGAGAGGGUGGCGGAAUUCCCGGUGUAGAGGUGAAAUUCGUAGAUAUCGGGAGGAACACCAGUGGCGAAGGCGGCCACCUGGACGGUAACUGACGCUGAGACGCGAAAGCGUGGGGAGCAAACAGG